rnacentral:rRNA from 1 species
GUGGGGAAUAUUGCGCAAUGGGGGGAACCCUGACGCAGCAACGCCGCGUGAGUGAAGAAGGUCUUCGGAUCGUAAAACUCUGUCAUAGGGGAAGAAGGAGAUGACGGUACCCUAUGAGGAAGCCCCGGCUAACUACGUGCCAGCAGCCGCGGUAAUACGUAGGGGGCGAGCGUUGUCCGGAAUUACUGGGCGUAAAGGGUGCGUAGGCGGCUGAUUAAGUCAGAUGUGAAAUACCAGGGCUCAACCCUGGGGGUGCAUUUGAAACUGGCCAGCUUGAGUGCAGGAGAGGGAAGUGGAAUUCCUAGUGUAGCGGUGAAAUGCGUAGAGAUUAGGAGGAACACCAGUGGCGAAGGCGACUUCCUGGACUGUAACUGACGCUGAGGCACGAAAGCGUGGGGAGCAAACAGGAUUAGAUACCCUAGUAGUCC